UCGAUUAGUUUGAUCAUGGCUCAGAAUCAACGCUGGCGGCGUGCCUCAGUCAUGCAAGUCGAACGCGAAAGUCCCCUUCGGGGGGCAAGUAGAGUGGCGCACGGGUGAGUAACACGUAGGUAAUCUACCUUCGGAUGGGGAAUAACAAUCGGAAACGGUUGCUAAUACCGCAUAAUGCAGCGGCACCUAAUGGUGACAGUUGUUAAAGCGGGGGAUCGAAAGACCUCGCGUCUGAGGAGGAGCCUGCGGCGGAUUAGCUAGUUGGUAAGGUAAUGGCUUACCAAGGCAACGAUCCGUAACCGGCCUGAGAGGGCGGUCGGUCACACUGACACUGACAUACGGGUCAGACUCCUACGGGAGGCAGCAGUCGGGAAUUUUGGGCAAUGGGCGAAAGCCUGACCCAGCAACGCCGCGUGAAGGAUGAAAUCCCUCGGGAUGUAAACUUCGCAAGAACGGGAAGAAUAAGUAGGGGACAAUACCCCCUAUGAUGACGGUACCGUUUGUAAGCUCCGGCUAACUCCGUGCCAGCAGCCGCGGUAAUACGGGGGGAGCAAGCGUUGUUCGGAUUUACUGGGCGUAAAGGGCGCGUAGGCGGCCAGCACAAGUCAGUUGUGAAAUCUCCGAGCUUAACUCGGAAAGGUCAACUGAUACUGUGCGGCUAGAGUGCGGAAGGGGCAACUGGAAUUCUUGGUGUAGCGGUGAAAUGCGUAGAUAUCAAGAGGAACACC
rnacentral:rRNA from 1 species